GUGAUUUUGAACUUCGUGUACUAUGAUCGUUAGGUUAUUGUGGAUUUGGAAGAACGAUACACAAAAUCCCUUACAUCAAAGGUUUUGUUAUCAAGAAAAAAUAUGGCCAUGAUGCCACCAAUGUUGGUGAUGAAGUCGUUGAGUAUGCAGCCGUGGAAGAUUUACUCUCUUUGUUUGAAGAUGAAAUAUUCCAUAUCUUGGCUUGCCAUCCAAGAUUGUGAUUGUUGCUGUAUGAAUGGUUUAAAAUUUGAGCAAAGAUGAGAAUUUUGUGUGUCCUGGCGGGGU